rnacentral:rRNA from 1 species
CGGACGGGUGAGUAACACGUGGGUAACCUGCCUAAAAGAAAGGGAUAACACUUGGAAACAGGUGCUAAUACCGUAUAUCUCUAAGGAUCGCAUGAUUUUUAGAUGAAAGAUGGCUCUGCUAUCGCUUUUAGAUGGACCCGCGGCGUAUUAACUAGUUGGUGGGGUAACGGCCUACCAAGGUGAUGAUACGUAGCCGAACUGAGAGGUUGAUCGGCCACAUUGGGACUGAGACACGGCCCAA